AUUGAACUCUGGCUGCAGGCCUAACACAUGCAAGUCGCACGAGUAGAGGACUGGUGAGUAAUGUAUGGGAACCUGGCUAAUGUAGUGAGAUAAAUACUGGAAAAGGUAGCUAAUCCAUCAUACCCUCGGUUUUUGCCAGUUGGGAUUAGCUAGUAUGUGGGGUAGAGGCUCACCUAGGCGACGAUCCCUAGAUGGUCUGAGAGGCUGAUCAGCCAAACGGGAAAUGAGACACGGUCCAGACUCCUACGGGAGGCAGCAGUGGGGAAUAUUGCACAAUGGGCGCAAGCCUGAUGCAGCCAGGCCGCGUGUAUGAAGAAGGCCUUCGGAUUGUUAAGUACUUUCAGCGGGGAGGCGUUACCCGCAGAAGAAGCACCGGCUAACUCCGUGCCAGCAGCCGCGGUAAUAC
rnacentral:rRNA from 1 species